rnacentral:rRNA from 1 species
GUGUCAGCAGCCGCGGUAAUACGGAGGGUGCAAGCGUUGUUCGGAAUUACUGGGCGUAAAGGGCGCGUAGGUGGUUGUGUAAGUCAGAUGUGAAAUCCUUAGGCUUAACCUGAGAACUGCAUCUGAUACUGCAUGACUCGAGUACAGCAGAGGGAAACGGAAUUCCUGGUGUAGAGGUGAAAUUCGUAGAUAUCAGGAGGAACACCGGUGGCGAAGGCGGUUUCCUGGGCUGAUACUGACACUGAGGCGCGAAAGCGUGGGGAGCAAACAGGAUUAGAAACCCCCGUAGUCC